rnacentral:rRNA from 1 species
CCUACGGGUGGCAGCAGUGGGGAAUAUUGCGCAAUGGGCGAAAGCCUGACGCAGCGACGCCGCGUGAGGGAUGAAGGUCUUCGGAUCGUAAACCUCUGUCAGCAGGGAAGAACGGUCACUGUGCUAAUCAGCAGUGAAUUGACGGUACCUGCAAAGGAAGCACCGGCUAACUCCGUGCCAGCAGCCGCGGUAAUACGGAGGGUGCGAGCGUUAAUCGGAAUUACUGGGAGGAAAGCGCUCGUAGGCGGGAUGUCAAGUCAAGGGGGAAAUCCCCGCGCUCAACGUGGGAACUGCCGUUGAAACUGGCAAACUGGAGUGUGUGAGAGGAUAGUGGAAUUCCAGGUGUAGGAGUGAAAUCCGUAGAUAUCUGGAGGAACAUCAGUGGCGAAGGCGACUAUCUGGCACAUAACUGACGCUGAGGAGCGAAAGCGUGGGUAGCAAACAGGAUUAGAUACCCGAGUAGUC